rnacentral:rRNA from 1 species
UACAGAGGGUGCAAGCGUUAAUCGGAAUUACUGGGCGUAAAGCGAGCGUAGUCGGUUAUUUAAGUCGGAUGUGAAAUCCCCGGGCUCAACCUGGGAAUUGCAUUCGAUACUGGAUAGCUAGAGUUCGGCAGAGGGAAGCGGAAUUUCUGGUGUAGCGGUGAAAUGCGUAGAUAUUCGGAAGAACACCAGUGGCGAAGGCGGCUCACUGGUCCGGUACUGACGCUGAUGUGCGAAAGCGUGGGGAGCAAACAGG